rnacentral:rRNA from 1 species
AGUCGAGCGGAACGAUGAUAGCUUGCUAUCAGGCGUCGAGCGGCGGACGGGUGAGUAAUACUUAGGAAUCUACCUAGUAGUGGGGGAUAGCACGGGGAAACUCGUAUUAAUACCGCAUACGACCUACGGGAGAAAGGGGGCAGUUUACUGCUCUCGCUAUUAGAUGAGCCUAAGUCGGAUUAGCUAGAUGGUGGGGUAAAGGCCUACCAUGGCGACGAUCUGUAGCUGGUCUGAGAGGAUGAUCAGCCACACCGGGACUGAGACACGGCCCGGACUCCUACGGGAGGCAGCAGUGGGGAAUAUUGGACAAUGGGGGAAACCCUGAUCCAGCCAUGCCGCGUGUGUGAAGAAGGCCUUUUGGUUGUAAAGCACUUUAAGCAGUGAAGAAGACUCCGUGGUUAAUACCCACGGACGAUGACAUUAGCUGCAGAAUAAGCACCGGCUAACUCUGUGCCAGCAGCCGCGGUAAUACAGAGGGUGCAAGCGUUAAUCGGAAUUACUGGGCGUAAAGGGAGCGUAGGUGGCUCGAUAAGUCAGAUGUGAAAUCCCCGGGCUCAACCUGGGAACUGCAUCUGAUACUGUUGAGCUAGAGUAUGUGAGAGGAAGGUAGAAUUCCAGGUGUAGCGGUGAAAUGCGUAGAGAUCUGGAGGAAUACCGAUGGCGAAGGCAGCCUUCUGGCAUAAUACUGACACUGAGGCUCGAAAGCGUGGGUAGCAAACAGGAUUAGAUACCCUGGUAGUCCACGCCGUAAACGAUGUCUACUAGUCGUUGGGUCCCUUGAGGACUUAGUGACGCAGCUAACGCAAUAAGUAGACCGCCUGGGGAGUACGGCCGCAAGGUUAAAACUCAAAUGAAUUGACGGGGGCCCGCACAAGCGGUGGAGCAUGUGGUUUAAUUCGAUGCAACGCGAAGAACCUUACCUGGUCUUGACAUAUCUAGAAUCCUGCAGAGAUGCGGGAGUGCCUUCGGGAAUUAGAAUACAGGUGCUGCAUGGCUGUCGUCAGCUCGUGUCGUGAGAUGUUGGGUUAAGUCCCGCAACGAGCGCAACCCUUGUCCUUAGUUACCAGCGGGUUAAGCCGGGAACUCUAAGGAUACUGCCAGUGACAAACUGGAGGAAGGCGGGGACGACGUCAAGUCAUCAUGGCCCUUACGACCAGGGCUACACACGUGCUACAAUGGUAGGUACAGAGGGCAGCUACACAGCGAUGUGAUGCGAAUCUCAAAAAGCCUAUCGUAGUCCAGAUUGGAGUCUGCAACUCGACUCCAUGAAGUAGGAAUCGCUAGUAAUCGCGGAUCAGAAUGCCGCGGUGAAUACGUUCCCGGGCCUUGUACACACCGCCCGUCACACCAUGGGAGUUGAUUGCACCAGAAGUGGAUAGCUUAACCUUCGGGGAGGC